GACGAACGCUGACGGUGUGCUUUAGACAUGCAAGUCGAGCGAGAAAGCCCUUCGGGGUUAGUAAAGCGGCGAACGGGUGAGUAACACGUGGGCAAUCUGCCCCUCGCAGGGGGACGAACCGGGGGAAACUCCGGCUAAUACCCCGUAAGCUAUGUGGAUCGCAUGGUUCACAUAGGAAAGGUAGCUUCGGCCAUCCGGCGAGGGAUGAGCCCGCGGUACAUUAGCUAGUUGGUGGGGUAACGGCCUACCAAGGCGGCGAUGUAUAGCUGGUCUGAGAGGAUGAUCAGCCACACUGGGACUGAGACACGGCCCAGACUCCUACGGGAGGCAGCAGUCGGGAAUCUUGCACAAUGGGCGAAAGCCUGAUGCAGCAACACCGUGUGAGCGA
rnacentral:rRNA from 1 species